UCAUCUUCAAUUCACUUGGCCUCUUCCUCUCUCUGCUAUGUUCAUCUCACGUUCAAAAACACACCAUCUACUCCCUAUUCUCUCUGGCCCUGAAUAACAAAAACCACGUGAAACAAACUCUCUCCAUCUCAAUCGCAUCUCUCAAGCAACUCUCCCACUCAGUUCGGUCCUCUCAUCUCCUAUCUCUAACAUUAUUUCAAUCAAACAAAAUUUCUUCUCUCAAAACAAACAAAUCAACAUAGAAACAACAACAAUCAAUAUGAAUAAUAUUCGAAAGAAGAGAAAAGAAAGAGUUACGAUGAUGAUUAGUUGAUGAAUGAUGCGAGUCUAUGUUGAAGUGUUGUGAUUCUUCAUAAGUGUUGUUGUUGCAAUUUGUUGCGGAUCUUGGAAUCGUCUCAGUGAUGUGUGAUGACAAUGAGUUGACGCGUUGUGUUUCUGCGAUGAUAAAGUGAUUCGGUUUGUUGCAGAUGUUGAAUCGGUUGUGUGAAGAAUGAGUUGUUGUUGUGAACUCGGUUUAGUUUGUGAGAUGUGGAAGAUGAUGGUUCAAUGUUUGAUCUGUGAUGAAGGUUGUGAUGAAGGUUUGAUGGAGUAGAUUUAUGGAGGUCUUGUGGCUUUGAUAAUGGGAAUGAAUCGAUUUUGGAGGAAGCUUAUUUUGUGCAAUGAUUUUGACAGAGUUUUCUUGUGGUUUUGGCUAUGCUAUCUUUGUGUAAAAUUUGGACAGCUUUUUGCAGCAAGUAGGUGGACUUGUGAGCGGGUUUUGGACAGUUUUGCUUGGCAUGGGAUAGCAGUGCAGCAGAAGAAUGCAGAGUUUUGGACCAUUGUGUUUGUUUUGGUUGGGACAGAGCAUCAUCUGUUGUAGCCGGAUGUGGAAUAGAGAAACAUGAAGGAGAUCUUUUUUUCUUUGACUAUUUUUGUUUUUCUUUUGUAAUAACUUGAAAAGUAUAAACUGGGCUGAAAUGUGAAAUGGGCCUAACCCACACAAAUUUCUA